AUGCCCUGCUGUCUCCUUGCCCUUCUCCUGGGCACUUUCUUAGGUGUCAGAGCUCAGACCAUCCGUCAAUGGCCACUUAUCAGGGUGCAGCCUGCAGGCAGCCCGCUCUCCCUGGAGUGUACUGUGAAGGGGGCAUCAAGCCCCAGACUGUACUGGUACCGGCAGGCGGCAGGAGGGGCCCUCCAGCUGCUCUUCUACUCCGUUAGUGUUGGCCAGAUAGACUCUGAGGAGCCCCAGAACUUUGAAGCCUCCAGGCCCCAGGACGGCCUGUUCAUCCUGAGUUCUAAGAAGCUCCUGCUCAGUAACUCUGGCUCCUACCUCUGCGCCUGGAGUCUCACACUGAGCUGGUUCUAUUUCCACUGCCAGGGUGCUCACUGGAGGCCCAGGCAGAAAGGACAGCAUGGGAAGAAGUUGGGACAGGAUGUGGUGAGCCUGGUGUUCACGGAGCUCAGAAGGGCCUGA